AUUGAACGCUGGCGGCAGGCCUAACACAUGCAAGUCGAGCGGAUGAAGAGAGCUUGCUCUCUGAUUUAGCGGCGGACGGGUGAGUAAUGCCUAGGAAUCUGCCUGGUAGUGGGGGAUAACGUUCCGAAAGGAACGCUAAUACCGCAUACGUCCUACGGGAGAAAGCAGGGGACCUUCGGGCCUUGCGCUAUCAGAUGAGCCUAGGUCGGAUUAGCUAGUUGGUGAGGUAAUGGCUCACCAAGGCGACGAUCCGUAACUGGUCUGAGAGGAUGAUCAGUCACACUGGAACUGAGACACGGUCCAGACUCCUACGGGAGGCAGCAGUGGGGAAUAUUGGACAAUGGGCGAAAGCCUGAUCCAGCCAUGCCGCGUGUGUGAAGAAGGUCUUCGGAUUGUAAAGCACUUUAAGUUGGGAGGAAGGGCAGUAAGUUAAUACCUUGCUGUUUUGACGUUACCGACAGAAUAAGCACCGGCUAACUUCGUGCCAGCCGCCGCCGUAACAC
rnacentral:rRNA from 1 species